rnacentral:rRNA from 1 species
GACGAACGCUGGCGGCGUGCUUAACACAUGCAAGUCGAACGGAAAGGCCCUGCUUUUGUGGGGUGCUCGAGUGGCGAACGGGUGAGUAACACGUGAGUAACCUGCCCUUGACUUUGGGAUAACUUCAGGAAACUGGGGCUAAUACCGGAUAGGAGCUCCUGCUGCAUGGUGGGGGUUGGAAAGUUUCGGCGGUUGGGGAUGGACUCGCGGCUUAUCAGCUUGUUGGUGGGGUAGUGGCUUACCAAGGCUUUGACGGGUAGCCGGCCUGAGAGGGUGACCGGCCACAUUGGGACUGAGAUACGGACCAGACUCCUACGGGAGGCAGCAGUGGGGAAUAUUGCACAAUGGGCGGAAGCCUGAUGAAGCAACGCCGCGUGCGGGAUGACGGCCUUCGGGUUGUAAACCGCUUUCGCCUGUGACGAAGCGUGAGUGACGGUAAUGGGUAAAGAAGCACCGGCUAACUACGUG